rnacentral:rRNA from 1 species
GAUGAACGCUAGCGGGAGGCCUAACACAUGCAAGCCGAGCGGUAUUGUUUCUUCGGAAUUGAGAGAGCGGCGUACGGGUGCGUAACACGUGUGCAACCUGCCUUUAUCUGGGGGAUAGCCUUUCGAAAGGAAGAUUAAUACUCCAUAAUAUAUUGAACGGCAUCGUUUAAUAUUGAAAGCUCCGGCGGAUAGAGAUGGGCACGCGCAAGAUUAGCUAGUUGGUGAGGUAACGGCUCACCAAGGCGAUGAUCUUUAGGGGGCCUGAGAGGGUGAUCCCCCAGACUGGUACUGAGACACGGACCAGACUCCUACGGGAGGCAGCAGUGAGGAAUAUUGGUCAAUGGGAGCAAGCCUGAACCAGCCAUCCCGCGUGAAGGACGACUGCCCUAUGGGUUGUAAACUUCUUUUGGAUAGGGAUAAACCUACCCUCGUGAGGGUAGCUGAAGGUACUAUACGAAUAAGCACCGGCUAACUCCGUG